rnacentral:tRNA from 1 species
GGAUGGGUGGCCGAGCGGUUUAAGGCACCGGUCUUGAAAACCGGCGUAGGGUCAAACCUACCGUGGGUUCGAAUCCCACCCCAUCCGCCA